CACGUAGUUAGCCGUGGCUUAUUCGACAGGUACCGUCUUCUGCUCUUCCCUGUCAAAAGAAGUUUACAACCCGAAAGCCUUCUUCCUUCACGCGGCGUUGCUGGGUCAGGCCUUGCGCCCAUUGCCCAAUAUUCCCCACUGCUGCCUCCCGUAGGAGUCUGGGCCGUAUCUCAGUCCCAAUGUGGCCGGCCAACCUCUCAGUCCGGCUACUGAUCGUCGCCUUGGUAGGCCGUUACCCUACCAACUAGCUAAUCAGACGCGAGGCCAUCUCUCAGCGAUAAAUCUUUGGUACCAGUACCAUGCGAUACCCGUACGUUAUGCGGUAUUAGCAGUCGUUUCCAACUGUUGUCCCCCUCUGAAAGGCAGGUUCCUCACGCGUUACUCACCCGUCCGCCACUAAGUACGUCCUCUCCAUUGACCGAAAUCUCUUUCGAGGGUACUCCGUUCGACUUUGCAUGUGUUAAGCACCGCCGCCAGCGUUCGUCCUGAGCCAGGACUACAAACUCU
rnacentral:rRNA from 1 species